rnacentral:rRNA from 1 species
GAUGAACGCUAGCGGCAGGCUUAAUACAUGCAAGUCGAGGGACAGCACAGGUAGCAAUACUGGGUGGUAACCGGCAGACGGGUGCGGAACACGUACACAACCUUCCUUUAAGUGGGGGAUAGCCCAGAGAAAUUUGGAUUAAUACCCCGUAAUAUAGUUGAAUGGCAUCAUUUGAUUAUUAUAGCUACGGCGCUUAAUGAUGGGUGUGCGGCUGAUUAGAUAGUUGGCGGGGUAACGGCCCACCAAGUCUACGAUCAGUAGCUGAUGUGAGAGCAUGAUCAGGCAAACGGGCACUGAGACACGGGCCCGACUCCUACGGGAGGCAGCAGUAAGGGAUAUUAGUCAAUGGACGCAAGUCUGAACCAGCCAUGCCGCGUGAAGGAUUAAGGUCCUCUGGAUUUGAAACUUCUUUUAUUUAGGACGAAAAAGGGCCUUUCUAGGUCAACUGACGGUACCAGAUGAAUAAGCACCGGCUAACUCCGUGCCAGCCGCCGCGGUAACAC